rnacentral:lncRNA from 10 species
AGAUUUAUCAUUAUGUUUACACUGAUUUUGCAGUAGAUAGUAACCGAGUUUAUGCCUUGACCAAAUGUCCAUAUAUAACAUACAGUCAGUAAAACUGUUGACUGGCUGUAGGUUCCUGCUGUGAGAAGUGUGAUCUGUGAAAUUCUAACAUGCCUAAUAACAUUUAUUCCCUUAUGAUCUAGCAUAGAUUUAAGCCAGGCAAAAAGUUUUAACAAAAACUGAUUAUGCUUGUCAAUAACCGUGAAUAGUAUCCCAAUUAAGACAAUGGUCAUUUAUUUGUUCCUACUGCCACCAGUGAAAGCAGGAAAAGCAUUUGGCAAAUCUAUUUCUGUCACCCUCAGAUUUCAGGAAGAGAAGUUCAAACAGAUGAAGCUGAUGUUACUGGAAUAACUCAUUCUACUCUACCAUUCUUCCUGAUCUACUCCCCAGGCUCUGUGAGCUGCUGGUAAUCAAGGAUGUUUGACUGGGUUCUGUUAGCUGUCAAGGUUUACUAAGCUGAGUUAGUUAAUGAGUGAUGGCUGGAUUUCAUUCCAGGACUUCAUAUCAGCCAUGAAGCAAUUAGGCAUGUACUUCAUGAUCUCCCACUGGAAUUUCAAAGGUGCCUUAGUCUACCAAGGAACUAAAUUCAGUGUGGUCUGAAAGGAAACAAUAAACAACAUUUAACCAUGAGAGGUAGCAAAGGACGUCUUUUCUCAGUGUCUAUGUUAGACAGGUGAGGAAUGUUGCCAAUUUAUUUUUUGUCCAUAUAACCUCUAUAGCUAUUUCUUCUCUUGUCUGUCGUUCUGAAAUUAUAAAGGGUUCUUAUGAGUUGUUUAUGUGAAACCAAGUACCCUGACCCACAGGCAAGGUAUUCCUGGAACUGCUGAAAUAGCAAGCCAGAUAAUGAUAUCAUUUAAAAAAGUGCCAGGCAAGAAAGCUCUGAUUAACUACUGAAACAUGCUCAGUGGAGAUAUUUGUAGCUAGAAUAAACGCCAUUUUAACAUCUCCUCUUUAUCUAGGGUCCUCCUUCCUCAUGCUAUUAUUGUGAAUAUUUCCUCUUCAGAUUCCUGCAUACAAGGAAGACUGAUGAAAGAGAGUAAAAAUCACUUUUGGAGAAAAAAAGACUGGACUUUCUACUCUGAUGCUCCACAAGAAACAGAAGUGGUAAGAAGACAAGCAGGCUCCCGGGGGAAGUGGAGGACCAUAUGAAGUUUCAUGAAAGAAAUGGCUUCAGGGAUGAUGAGGCAACUCUUCCUAAUACAAGGGGUAAGCCCUAGCCCAGGGGCACACCCAUCCUCUAGGAGGCCAGGGAUGGUCUCUGUCACUCCUGGGAAGUCCCUGCAGACUCUACCUGCUUUCCAAGUGCUUCAGGAAACAUCACCUUAAGGUUGAAGGAGGACAAACUCAAGCAGUUGCCUAUGGUAUGGCUAAGGGGGUGGCAAACAGAGGGCUGGUGAUUUUUACAAGUAACCUCUCACAAUACUUGCGCCAUUACUUCUCUUUUCAUUUGUGUCCAUGAAUAGAAACUCUCAGAGGAUAGUAUGUUAGCUCCAUGGCCUGUGGCACUGUAGAGUGAGUUCUUUAGAGACUGAAGGAGUUAAGAGUACCUGUUUAGCUACCAGAAGCUGAAUGUCAGCCGGUAUGAAUGGUAUGUAGCUGGGCAAUUUUCCAAAACCCAUGCGUGGCUGCGUAUCAGGAAGACUGCUAUAAACAAAUGUGCAUGUAUGCAUAGAGCCUGAUAAGUCAAUGGGGGGAGACAGACACGGAACAGCCAACCAGCCUGAGGAAAUAUGCAGAGCCGGGUGAGCUUCCACUUUAGGUGAACAAUAGCUCUGUCUCGGAAACAGGUCUGGAUGGGCUGGUGAACAGUUGGAAUGAUCCUUUGACUUUUUACACAUUAAAUGUCUGUUUCAGGGGACCGAAAGCUGGAUUCUCAAUUUUCCAAUUAUCCUAAUAUUAUAAAAUCACUAAAAUGGUGUUUUAAAAAAAUUCUUAAUAUGUAAAACAUGCAAAGAUACAUUAGGUGAAAAAAGCACAGGGCAAAACUGCAUUUAUAGAACCCAAUUAUGUAAAAUAUAUAGAUACAUUUAAGAUGAUACAUUAAAAAUGUC